GAAACUGGGAAUGGGUUUAAAUAAUUAUCAGAAUUUUUAAACUUCAUCAGGGAAAUGUUUUCUUGAAAAGCUAGGAGCCCUGUAUAUUAGGAUUUCUCACAUUCUGUAUGCUUCAUACAGAAACCCCAAUGGACUUUAUAAUGGACAAUCAAUUUCAAUAUUUUUUUUGGUUUCAAUCAUAAUCUCCUUCAAGUGAUAGUUUCUCAAGUGUACUUGAGUUUUAAUGAGUUUUAAUGAGAUAUAUAUAGCUUCUUAUUCUUGAAAUAAAGUUUUACAUUCUCAUUUUUUUAUUGAUAAGUGAAGUGCCCCCCCCCCAAAAAACAGGCUCAAUUCCUAAGUUCAGUUUGAAGGUGAAAGUAUAACAGUAUUAAAUAAUCUGAAGGGUUUAGGGAGUGAGUAUAAUAUUUAGGAGUAAUUUAAUAUAUUUUAGGAGUAAGUGAAUAUAAUAUUUAGGUGAUUAUCUUUAUUUUUUCCAUUUUGAUGCCGAUUUCAUUGCUUAUUCUCAACUUUCUAUUGAAAUUAAUGUUAUUGUAUACAUGAGAGGAAAGUGAAUAUAUCACUCCUAGAUAGGAAAGAAGUGGGAAGUGCCUGGCUUUUAAAGUUUAAAUGCAGCCUCUGACCAACGUAGACAAGGGAUGAGCAAUAGUCAAGACAGCAUGUCUGACAGAAAAAGAAAAGAAUAGCAAAGUGAUAGUGAAAGGAUUGAAAAAGCUGAUGAAUAAAAGGGACAGUAGGACUCCCGGCCUGAAUUUCAUUGUCUCCCCUAUUGAUCUGUUUGCUGGAAAGUCCCUUGCAACAUUUACAUGUCGUGAUGAAUAGCCUAGCGCUACUUACACAGACAGUUGUCCUCUCUUGGCGAGCAAAUUCUCCCCAGGUCUUGAAACUGCUGGUCUGUGAAAUCGUUCCAGGACGUCAUCGUCGUCUUGCGCAACAGCACCAUGUUCGAUCGUGGCUCCGACGAGCUGAUGGCCGCUACGCCCAAUGGAACAACUACUAACGUCCUAGGAAGCCAAGAAGCAGGCUCGCCUAAUUCUAAUGACCAUGAUGCCAAGAAGG